CUUGAAGAUCGGAGUGCUUGCACUCUGUGAAACAAGAUACAGGCUAGCGGCGGACGGGUGAGUAACACGUGGGUAACCUGCCCAAGAGAUCGGGAUAACACCUGGAAACAGAUGCUAAUACCGGAUAACAACAGAUGAUGCCUAUCAACUGUUUAAAAGAUGGUUCUGCUAUCACUCUUGGAUGGACCUGCGGUGCAUUAGCUAGUUGGUAGGGUAACGGCCUACCAAGGCGAUGAUGCAUAGCCGAGUUGAGAGACUGAUCGGCCACAUUGGGACUGAGACACGGCCCAAACUCCUACGGGAGGCAGCAGUAGGGAAUCUUCCACAAUGGACGCAAGUCUGAUGGAGCAACGCCGCGUGAGUGAAGAAGGGUUUCGGCUCGUAAAGCUCUGUUGUUGGUGAAGAAGGACAGGGGUAGUAACUGACCUUUGUUUGACGGUAAUCAAUUAGAAAGUCACGGCUAACUACGUGCCAGCAGCCGCGGUAAUACGUAGGUGGCAAGCGUUGUCCGGAUUUAUUGGGCGUAAAGCGAGUGCAGGCGGCUCGAUAAGUCUGAUGUGAAAGCCUUCGGCUCAACCGGAGAAUUGCAUCAGAAACUGUCGAGCUUGAGUACAGAAGAGGAGAGUGGAACUCCAUGUGUAGCGGUGAAAUGCGUAGAUAUAUGGAAGAACACCGGUGGCGAAGGCGGCUCUCUGGUCUGUUACUGACGCUGAGGCUCGAAAGCAUGGGUAGCGAACAGGAUUAGAUACCCUGGUAGUCCAUGCCGUAAACGAUGAGUGCUAAGUGUUGGGAGGUUUCCGCCUCUCAGUGCUGCAGCUAACGCAUUA
rnacentral:rRNA from 1 species